GGUUAAGCGACUAAGCGUACACGGUGGAUGCCCUGGCAGUCAGAGGCGAUGAAGGACGUGCUAAUCUGCGAAAAGCGUCGGUAAGGUGAUAUGAACCGUUACAGCCGGCGAUGUCCGAAUGGGGAAACCCAGUGCAAUUCGUUGCACUAUCGUUAACUGAAUACAUAGGUUAACGAGGCGAACCGGGGGAACUGAAACAUCUAAGUACCCCGAGGAAAAGAAAUCAACCGAGAUUCCCCCAGUAGCGGCGAGCGAACGGGGAGCAGCCCGGAGUCUGAAUCAGCUUGUGUGUUAGUGGAAGCGUCUGGAAAGUCGCAGGGUACAGGGUGAUACUCCCGUACACUAAAACACACAGGUUGUGAACUCGAAGAGUAGGGCGGGACACGUGGUAUCCUGUCUGAAUAUGGGGGGACCAUCCUCCAAGGCUAAAUACUCCUGACUGACCGAUAGUGAACCAGUACCGUGAGGGAAAGGCGAAAAGAACCCCGGCGAGGGGAGUGAAAAAGAACCUGAAACCGUGUACGUACAAGCAGUAGGAGCCC
rnacentral:rRNA from 1 species